rnacentral:lncRNA from 1 species
CAAAACACAAGUCGUCAAACAUAUGUGACAAUAACGUAAUCUACAAUAAUAGUACAAAAUAUUAUAACAAAUAAGAUAGAAACAAUUCAGCAUACUUUUAUUUAUAUGAUAGAAUUUGUCAAACGUGUGUAAUAAUAACACGACCUAAUAUAAUAGUGGAAUAUUAGUAUACAAACAGCUACAGUGGAACACAAUGUUAUCAUCUAUAUGACACAAUUUAUCAGAUAAAUGUAAGGACAAAAUCUAUAACAUUACUGCAGUAAACAAAUACAAUAUACUCACCAUUCCUGUAUUUAUUUUUUGUAUGACACUGCAAGAAAAAAUGUUAUUCUCAGACAACUGAGGUUUCUUUGUAAAACUAGAGGGUUUAAGGAGCCUGUGUCGAUCACCUUGGUAUAUGUGCAUAUUCAACAAAGGACACUCAACAUUGUAGUGAGAAUGGAAAUCAUGGAAAAAAUCUCUAUUUUGUUGAUCUUGUAUUGCUGACCAUUUAGUCUGUUUAGUUAUUCUCUGUUUCCUUUAGUUUUUGCUCAAAACACAAAAGAUGAUUUAAAAAAUUCUAUAAAGAGUGAAAGUCCACUAACUAUAUCGGCAAAAUUUGGCUUGUUAGUAGAUCUUGUCUUGCUGAUCAUUUUUGAAUUUUAAAGUGUCUAUUUAUCUAUUAGGAUUUUUAUCACAUAAGACAAAACGCAAAACAAAUGGUAAAAAUCGUCAUUACAGGGCAAUGAUGAUGGUGGUCAAAUGUGGCUAAAUUUGGGCCAGUAGUUUUUUUUUGUAAAGGUAAACAGUCGACGACGCACGUACAACGACGACGUUUGAUGACUGACGCCAAAUGAUGAUAAAAGCUGACUUAGCCAUAUCGGCCAGGUGAGCUAAAAAAGGGAAAUACAGAUAUCAAGUAGGCAAUUAGUAUGAACAUACUACACAUACAGCUACAGAACAAGACCCAAUGCCUUAUACAAUGUAGUUGGAGAUAGGAUUCAUAAUAUGGUGAAUUUGCUGGAUGUGACAUUAUUUAUUUUACGAACAAUUAUAGAUCUUCCAUGGUUUUCCAAACAAGAUGGGACCGACAAACAUCACAAAGCUUGAAAUACCAUUGAUAAUCUGUUUAUUGCUCGGAAAAAUACAAUAAAUAGCAAUAAUCAUUUAUAUUCCCGAUUUCUUAAAACAAGACUGAACAUAAGAAAUGAAAAUACCUUGUUUCUCGAGACAAAGAAUAGAAAAAAAAGAAUAGCAUAAAAGAACGACAAAGUCACUGAAAAUACAACUCAGAAAACUACAGAAACAACAACAAAUCUCCACUUUAUAAGGUCUGAGGCUUGUUCUCUGAAACAAAUUAGAUUAUAAUACCUAACAUAUUGCUAAAGAUAAAUUGAAACGAAAUUCACAAUGAAAAUCUUGUCUCAAUAAAUGAAAAUUUUCAGUUGACAUCAUUAACACACUUAUUCUAAAAAGAUUGCUAACUUCAAUAUCAUGUGGUCUCUAAUGGAGCGUUGUCUCAUUUUUAAAUAUACCACAUCUUCUUAUUUUUAUACUUACUUAUUAUGAGAAAAGAUUAAUGUCUCCAUCUUUUUGGUAUUUUUUUUUAAUUGGUUCAUUGGUAGAGCAACCCUCUAGUAAAUGGGUCGUUAAACGAAAGUACUGGAAUAUUGUCAAAACAGGAAAUAUAAAGACCGUUAAUUAAAAUAGCAUUGCGUGAAUUUUUAAAGCAAUUUUUGAAGAUUAAUUAUUGCCAUUUCGGGUGAUCUGAAUAAAAUAAAUAUAUCGGAAUACGAUAUCUUAUCAUUGUGAUAUCCAACCAGUCACAUUUCUUGCAUUAAUAGAAACCUCGCAAUAAAUUCUGAAUUAACGGUACUCCAUCUUUUGGUGAUGCUAGAAGUGCAACAUAACAUUGGAAAGUUCACAAAUAUUAUUUCGUUUGCCAAUAAGUUCAUUUCUUUACCUGUUCCUAAUGUCAACCUUCUAGACGUAAAUCAAUAUAUGUAGCUGACCUCACUGUAUCUGUGGUAUUUCAUCAAUCUUAAUAAAGACAUUAACAGACAAUAAAAAUGCAAUCCACAUUAUCCCAAAAUGGGAAUUUUCCAGUAAGUGGACAUAACCCUUAUAGAAAAACGUGAGGUCAAAAGAUAAUGUCUAUUUUAUUCAAUUGAGGUAAGAGAUUACAAAAUUUAGGAGAUUUACAAACAAGAGUGCACACUUUAUUAAUCAUUGAUAUUAUGCUGGUAGUCCUAAAUAUAAAGCUUUAAUAAAACUGUCACAUAAACUUAACAUGAAUCAAGAUAACUAACCAUUAUACAAUGAACCAUGAAAAUGAGGUCAAGGUCAGAUGAACCAUGUCAGGCAGACAUGUACAGCUAACAAUUCUUCCAUACAACAAAUUUAGUUGACCUAUUGCUUAUAGUUUAAGAAAAACAAACCAAAACACAAAAAGUCAACACUAAGCAAUGAACCAUGAAAGUGAGGUCAAGGUAAAAUAAAACCUGCGCUACUGGCAUACAUGUAUAGAUCAUAAAAUAUUUCCAUUCACCAAAUAUAUUUGAUUUGUGGCAUAUAGUAUGAGAUAAAAACACCAAAUCUCAAAAACUUUACUUUGACCACUGAGCCAUGAAAAUGAGGUCAAGGUCAGUUGACAUCUGCCCGCUAGACAUGCACACCUUAUAAUCAUUCCAUACAACAAUUAUAGUAGACCUAUUGCCUAAAGUAUGAGAAAAACAGACCAAAACACAAACAUCUAACUAAAACCACUGAGCCAUGAAAAUGAUGUCAAGGUCAGAUUACACCUGCCAGUUGGACAUGUACCUUACAGUCCUUGUAUACACCGAAUGUACUAGACCUAUUGCUUAUAGUAUCUCAGAUAUGGACUGGACCACCAAAACUAAACCUUGUUCACUGCUCCAUGAAAUGAGGUCGAGGUCAAGUGAAAACUGUCUGACGGGCAUGAGGACCUUGCAAGGUACACACAUACCAAAUAUAGUUAUUCUAUUACUUAAAAUAAGAGAGAAUUUAACAUUUCCAAAAAUUUGAACUUUUUUUUUCAAGUGGUCACUGAACUAAAUAUGAGGCCAAGGACAUUGGACAUGUGACCGACGGAAACUUUGUAACAUGAAGCAUCUAUUUACAAAGUAUGAAGCAUCCACCUUCUAAACUAUAAAGCUUUCAAGACGUUAGCUAACGUCGCCGCCUGAUCACUAUCCCUAUGUCGAGCUUUCUGCAACAAAAGUUGCAUGCUCGACAAAAAUGGCAUUAAUAAAAAUCUAACAACUAUAAACUAAAUAUUAACAGGAAUUUGAAAUUAAAUAUGACUAUAGUUAGGUUAAAUGUAAGUACAAAAAUAACAUGCAAAAGUCAUCUAUUCAGAGAAAAAUAACUAGUAUUUUUGAAAUGAAAAGUCCAAUAGCAGUAAAAAAAUAAAUUGCCUCGCCGACCUCAGCUGAGGUCCAACCCUGAACAGUUGGGGCAAAAUGGACACAAUAUUCGCGCUUGAUACAGGUCUGAAUUUGGAUUGUAAUUAAAUAUUUGACACAUAAAAGGUUUCUGACACAGAAUAACUGUAGUCAAAGAACUUAGAAUUGGUUAUAUGAUUUGAAUUUAUGUUCAAUUUUUUUCUUUUGUGCAAUACACUUUGCUACUGCGAAUUAACCCCCCCCCCUUUUCCCCCACCGAAAAAAACUAACCCCCUUGUUUUUGCUUUUGUGCAAUACUAUGCUGUUG